rnacentral:rRNA from 1 species
AAUCAACGCUGGCGGCGUGCCUAACACAUGCAAGUCGAACGCGAAAGCCCCGCAAGGGGCAAGUAGAGUGGCAAACGGGUGAGUAACACGUGGGUGACCUGCCUUCGAGCGGGGGAUAACGUCCCGAAAGGGACGCUAAUACCGCAUAACAUCCUGCCUUUGAAGAGGUGGAGAUCAAAGCUGGGGAUCGCAAGACCCGGCACUUGAAGAGGGGCCCGCGCCUGAUUAGCUAGUUGGNGGGGUAAUGGCCUACCAAGGCAACGAUCAGUAUCCGGCCUGAGAGGGCGGACGGACACACUGGGACUGAGGCACGGCCCAGACUCCUACGGGAGGCAGCAGUGGGGAAUUGUUCGCAAUGGGCGCAAGCCUGACGACGCAACGCCGCGUGGAGGAUGAAG